rnacentral:lncRNA from 1 species
GCCAGAUUGGACUGUAUGUUAACACCUACAACAUGUGGUCUCUACAGAAUCAGAUCAGACGAAGGCCAGAUUGGACUGUAUGUUAACACCUACAACAUGUGGUCUCUACAGAAUCAGAUCAGACGAAGGCCAGAUUGGACCGUAUGUUAACACCUACAACAUGUGGUCUCUACAGAAUCAGAUCAGACGAAGGCCAGAUUGGACGGUAUGUUAACACCUACAACAUGUGGUCUCUACAGAAUCAGAUCAGACGAAGGCCAGAUUGGACGAAUCAGAUCAGACGAAGGCCAGAUGGGACCGUAUGUUAUUUCCGUAUCAGAAGAUAUUGUCAAGAGGAUUUUCAGGUAUUAUUACAUUAUUACAUUUCUAAUGUCUGUUGCGGUGAAAACACUGUCUCUGUAAAUACCGUAAAUGACCACGGUGCAGUCAGAAGGUGACGGUGUGUGUGAAGGGUUAACUCAUUUUGUCCUACAGAAUGUUCAGACAUUUCUUCCUGCUAGGCUACCGAUCUAUUCAUAGUGUAGUGGCACUGCAGCAGCGUGAGCUGAGCCUGACAACUCUGGGGGUUUUUUACGUCAUACACUUUCACAGACAACUAAACACAUCGAAAGACCAUUCGCUGUUGUACACACCUGUGUUCACUGCAUACGGGUAGCCUAUGGUAGCCUAUGGUAGCCUACGGUAGCCUAUGGUAGCAUAUGGUAGCCUAUGGUAGCCUAUGGUAGCCUUUGGUAGCCUAUGGGAAAUAAUUUGCUGCACUUGAUUUAGUACUAUGUCCCCUGUACAAUGCAACCAGUAGAACAGCGCCAGAAGUCACUCUGAGCUAAAUCAAGCGCUCCUCAAAUGACAUCCAAUACUUGGAUGUAUUGACCCAGCUCUGGGCUUUUAUCCUCACAUACAACAGAGCAGAGAAAGGACACCAAGAGGACGAGGGAAUUAAGUCAACGGUCAUUCAGUGGCUGUGUACCAUAGUUGCACCCUUCACUCUUAGAUAAAAAGGGUUCCAAAAGGGUUAUUUGGAUGUUUACAUAGGAGAACCCUGUUUGGUUCCAGGUACAUCCAUUUUUGGUUCCAGACAUAACUAUUUUG